rnacentral:rRNA from 1 species
UACGAAGGGGGCUAGCGUUGCUCGGAAUUACUGGGCGUAAAGGGCUCGUAGGCGGCCAACUAAGUCAGACGUGAAAUCCCCAGGCUCAACCUGGGAACUGCGUCUGAUACUGGAUGGCUUGAAUUCGGGAGAGGGAUGCAGAAUUCCAGGUGUAGCGGUGAAAUGCGUAGAUAUCUGGAGGAACACCGGUGGCGAAGGCGGCAUCCUGGACCGGUAUUGACGCUGAGACGCGAAAAGCGUGGGGGAGCGAACAGG